GCUUGAAUUCCAGACAACUCUACUACUUGAUUUUUCUAUCACUCAAAUUUUUUUGUUACAUCAUAACAGUAUACAUUUCGUGUCGCAUAUAAUAGAAACUUCUUCCGACAGGAAACAUCUUAUUUUCAAAUACUUUGGAAAAAGCGUUGGCAUAGUCGCUUAUAAGCUUGUAAACAUGAAUAAAUACAACAAACAGGAUCGUUUAGACAUUUUGCCAUUGGCCCUAAAAUGUAGAGGGUAUUUUGAAAAUUAGGAAUUCAACAAACCCAAUGUAUAGAUAACUUACCGCAAUGCCAAGAUUCCAUCCUACUCCUGCAGGAUUUUCCUUCGUGAUGCCGCAGCGCCU